rnacentral:lncRNA from 1 species
AGCGCCACCUGCUUCCUGCGGCAAGUGCAUGGCGGCUUCCUGUUUACAUUUUUGAACUCCGCAUGCUUUCAACUUCCAAGCUUGACGCUGUUGUUCAUGACAUUGUGAAAAAUAUAUGGAUAUAUAUGGGUGGUGAUGAUAUUUAGCAUCAUCCGGAAAGUCAAGCAUCGAUAUUUGGUCUACGACAAUUUGCCUACUGGUCAUCAAAGAUGCUGGAAUUUUUUCAAAACGCCAACUACACGUGCAAGCUUACUUUGAAGAUGUUCUUUGUGACUAUCCCAUAGCAUGAAUUCAUUAAAGUAGACUCCAAGCAUUCUGUGUUAGUAAUUUCUAUGGCAUUCCCUCCUAAGCUUGCAGAUAUUGAACAGCUGAUGGUGCGACAAGAAUCCCAGUAUCUUCCUUGCUGUACAUUUUGAAACAAUUCUUGAACAUACAAUUUCCGUCGUGAAGUGGUACAUCC